UACCAGCACCCCGAGUGGUCGGGACGUUUAUUGGGCCUAAAGCAUCCGUAGCCGGUUCUACAAGUCUUCCGUUAAAUCCAGCUGCUUAACAGAUGGGCUGCGGAAGAUACUAUGGAGCUGGGAGGCGGGAGAGGCAAGCGGUACUCGAUGGGUAGGGGUAAAAUCCGUUGAUCCAUUGAAGACCACCAGUGGCGAAGGCGGCUUGCCAGAACGCGCUCGACGGUGAGGGAUGAAAGCUGGGGGAGCAAACCGG
rnacentral:rRNA from 1 species